rnacentral:hammerhead_ribozyme from 1 species
GCACUGUUGACGAGUCCUAAACAGGACGAAACAGCUGUUCAAUGC